GUUAGCGGUAGUUCAGUCGGUUGUUGUUAUAAAAAUCUAGCCGGCCCGUCACGCCGGGGGGCGCGGGUUCGAGUCCCGUCCGCUCCGCCA
rnacentral:tRNA from 1 species